rnacentral:lncRNA from 10 species
UUAUUGUAUUUUCACUAACAUCACUUGCCAUAUUAAUUUUUUUCCUUUUAUUAUAUUAGAAACGGGGGUGUCUCACUAUAUUGCCCAGGCUGGUCUCGAACGCCUGAGCUCAAGUGAUCCUCCUGCCUCGGCCUCCCAAAGUGCUGGCAUUGUAGGCAUGAGCCACCACACCUGGCUAUAAGUAGAUUGUUCUUCAGAGGUUAUUUUCAGCUGACUUUUGGUUUCCUAUCUAAUUUUGUAAUGGUGGGUAAUGAAGCCCCUCUGAACCAAGAAGUUUGUAUGCAGCUCAUUCUUGUCUUCUGUGAUUUUCUUUUCUCUCUCUCUCUGUCUUUCUUAAGUAUAAUUAGAGAGUUUAUUUGGGCCAAAUUUGAGGACUGCAACCCAGGAGACAUAUAGUCAAGUUACCCUGAAUAUAUGUUCCCCUCUUCCAUUUUCAUCUGUCCUGCCCAGCUCCUGUUAAGUACAUAAACUGCCAGUCCCAUGGCGUUAUUUAAGGGGAGGUACAUUUAAUACCUUGUCUUUUUAAAUCAACAUAGUGGCCAAUCAUAGCACAGGGCCUGGCAUAGGGUAUUAAGCCUCCUCUUGGCUGACACAUUUUUUUUCUAGAGACACAGCAAACACCAGUCAUGUGGACAGGGAGCAAGUAGACAUCAUUGGCUUUGAUGGCAGCAAUGGCCCAUCUGGAGAGGCCACUGUGAAAAUGCCAGCUGCAGUGGGGGAGGUGUGGUCAGGGCGGCAUGCUCCACAGAACAGGCGGGAGCCCCGGCCCCUACUGAGUCGGCAGGACAGAAGCCCCAUGCUCCCAGGCGCAGCUGCAGCCACUCAGCCUCAGCUCCAGACCCAGGCAUCCGUGCACUCUUGGGGGCCCAGGAAGCCCCUUACCCCUGCAGGCUUGAAAGUGUCUGCUCCUGCUGCCUGGCUUCCCACUGCUCCCAGUGCCCACUCUAUGGUAGAGCAAAGCUGUGGCCCAUCCUGGGCACUGUCAUGACCUGGCUGAGUGCCUGAUUUUGGGAUGCUGCUGACAUGCCAGCCCCCUGGAACCUUGCCCCCUCUGGACUUUGGGUGUCAACCAGCAUGGGAGGGAAGCCAAAGGGGUGCUGAGGGCAGCUCAGUGAGGGCCUGCAGGUGCCCCUCAACAUGAACAGCUUGGGUGCCGUGGAUGGCACAUUGAUGGCAGCAGGAGGCAGACAGGCUCCUGAGUGGGAAGAGGAGGGUCCCCAGUGAAGCCCCACAUUCAAGCCAGGGACAGCCUGAAGCCUAGGGGCUGGGCUGUCAGUUACAGAUGGAGUCCACAGCCUGGAGUGAGAACUUAUGGUACUUUUUCCAGGCCCACCUAUGGCUGCCCACGGUCAGCACACACUUCCUCCCUUCUAAGCCCAUAAAAACCCCAGACUCCCACAGACAUCAGGACUACCAGCUGCAGGAAGGAAGGGACGACCUACUUUGGGUCUCCUCAACUUGUCGGGACAACCUGCCUGUGGACAGGAGCUACCCACCCUGGGUCUCAUCUCCAUUGAGAGCUGGACACUCAUCAGGAUGCCCUGCCUUCAGAAAGGAGCUACCCACUCCGGAUCUCCUCUCUGCUGAGGGCUGCAUUCAUCAGAACUACCUCCCUGUGGAAACAAACUACCCACUCUGGGUCUCCUGAGAGCUGUUCUGUCACUCAUUAAAAUUCCUCUCCAUCUUUCUCACUCUCCAGUUGCCAACGUACCUCAUUCUUCCUGGACAUGGGACAAGAACUCACCACAUGGUGUGACUGAAAGAGCUGUAACACAAACAGGGCUGAAACAUGCCCCCCAACCCCCCACUCACCGUGUUGUGGGCAACAAGAAGGAGAGAAGACCUGUGGCCCUUCAGGAAGCCCAGACAUAGGGGGUCCCUGAGCCAGGGCUGUGACACCUUCUUUGGAGCUCUGUGGUUCCUGGUAUUGCCAAGCUUCCAGGCACCACCAUGCUCCCCUCGUCCAGACAUAGGUAACCACAGAGGAAGCCGCCUGCAGUACAUCUUAUCCAGAUGCAGCCUUGCACAGAGUUGGUGCCUGUGCCAGUGCCUGGAGCUGCCUGUCCCAUAGCAGCAGCCAGUUCACCUGGCUGUGCACAGUGGCUGGACCCCACACUCACUCCACUUUGCUACUGGCUCACCCUUGUCAGGUGUAAGAUCCCGGCCAGUAGCACGAGCUGAGUGCAGCCUGCCAGGCCAAGUGGGCAGAAUGAGCCAAGUGGGCCUGAGCAAAAACUCAGGCAAAGGCACCACCAGCCACAGAGGUUUCCAACUGCAAAAGCAACAACCUAAGGAUCCUGAGGCAGCUUGAGAGACAAUGGAGAGUAAGACAGCAAUAGACAGAGGCAGGGCUGUGGAGCGACGCAGGCCUCCAAAGAAGAGAGAAGUUUCCAUUCCUGAAGCCUUCUGGAAUCUGAAGUUUGCUGCCUGGACUGCCCGGUUUUAGUGGAAGAAAGCUUGCAUGGGUCUCUGUUUGUUGCUACCAAAGACUCUUGGCUAGAGCAACGUGGAUGAAGGAAGGUUGAACCAAAGACAUGACAGUGGUUCCGAGGGGCUGGGCAGCCUUUGUGGCCUCCCACCACCACCUCAAUUAAGCCAAGCGGUGGAUGAAGAGAAGCUUCUGGGCUGUCAAGUGCCUGCUUCUUAAAAUCACUUUGGAGAACCCAGGGAGUGCAGGAGGCAAAGCAGCGCCCCCUGCGUGAGUCAUCCCCAUUUGAGCAGCCUUCCCACCCCGACCUGAGACACAAGGCCACACUUAGCAUCGAGGGAGACCAAGUGAUGUACCCAGCUUCAAGCCAGGCUUUGUUACAGAGAAGAAAGGAAGGGUAGAUGUUGGCAUAGCAACCAGCAUUGUCUGCAACUCUCUCUGCUGCGUGUCUCCCCAUCAGAUGCCCCCUGGGAACAGGGUGCCUGAGUGCGACUCUUAGGCCUGUAUGAUAAAACUGGACUUCUAAUUCCCUCUUUCACGUAAAUCAGAGCCAGUCAUAUCAUUUCUGCCCACAACCCAACAGCCGUAGCGAGCCACAGGGCCCUACCUGACUGCAGAUGGCUGGACGCAUGGGGAGCAGAAGGAAGGUAAUGAACAACACCACCUCCACCAGCCUUUAACAGGAGUGACGUGGCUCUACGUGCGCUUACAGAAAAGGCCUUCAAGACCUGCCGUUAGCUGGAAAAAUAAGAAGAGCAAGCUACAAAACUCACAUAGAAUAUGAUCCCACUUGGCUCAUAGGAAUAUGCCACCCCAAAAUACACUAUGCCGGCAUGAAGAUUAAUUUGAGCUAGAGGCAAAUGAUAAUCAGUAGAUGAAGAAAAACAUCUUCUUGGUGCUUCUCUUACCUGACAAAAAAGCAGAAACUUCUGGGGAAUGAGGAUUGCUAUACAUUUCCUCUCCCAGGGAAGCUUUAUGGCCAUGUAGAAGAUGGAAAGUCAGCAUCCAGAUGGACCUGCCCAGGUAGCCCUACUCUUCUGUUAGCUUCCCUCAUCUGGUCACCUUCUCACAGUUUGUCACCCUUGGAAGCCUAAAACCCUCUUCCUUUGUCUCAUCGCUUCUCUAAAAAUGUAUUGUUCCUUUGCUAAAAUGCUGCAUAAACCCAGUUCUUCUUUUUUUUUUUUUUUUUUUGAGAUAGAGUCUCAAGCUGUCACCCAGGCUGGAGUGCAGUGGCACAAUCUCGUCUCACUGCAAACUCCACCUCCUGGGUUCAAGUGAUUCUCCUGCCUCAGUCUCCUGAGUAGCUGGGAUUACAGGCUCAUGCCACCACACCCAGCUAAUUUUUGUAUUUUUAGUAGAGAUGGUGUUUCACCAUGUUGGCCAGGCUGGUCUCAAACUCCUGACUUCAGGUGAUCCACCCACCUCGGCCUCCCAAAGUGCUGGGAUUACAGGCAUGAGCCAUCAUGCCCGGCCUACAUAAACCCAGUUCUAAAUAUCCCUCUGAGUUACUCAUCACUAAGGUUUCUCCCAAGUGAUGUGUACUGCACUUUCUAACAAUCUGUUUGUUUUUCUCUUGUUAGUCUGUCUUUUGUCAGCCUAAUUUUCAGGACCCCAGCUGGAAAACUUAAGAUGAGCAGAGGAAAAAGAUGCCCUCACACACCUGCCUCACUCUUUUUUUUUUUUUUUUUUUUUUUUUUCAGAUAGAGUCUCGAUCUGUCACCCAGGCUGGAGUGCAGUGGCACGAUCUCGGCUCACCGCAAGCUCCGCCUCCCGGGUUCUUGCCAUUCUCCUGCCUCAGCCUCCCAAGUAGCUGGGACUACAGGCGCCCGCCACUGCGCCCAGCUAAUUUUUUGUAUUUUUAGUAGAGACAGAGUUUCACGUGUUAGCCGGGAUGGUCUCAAUCUCCUGACCUCAUGAUCCGCCCUCCUCAGCCUCCCAAAGUGCUGGGAUUACAGGCGUGAGCCACCAAGCCCCGCCUGCCUCACUCUUAUAAGGACCCUUGUGACGACAUUGGGCCCACCAUAUAAUACAAGAUAAUCUCCCAGCUCAAGGUCUUUAAGUUAAUCACAUCUGCAAAGUCCCUUUUGCCUUGUGAGGCAACAUAUUCACAGGUUCCAGGGAUUAGGAUGUGGACAUUUGGGAGGAGGGCAUUAUUCUGCCCACAACAAUGGCCCGUGGCCAUAGAAACUUCUGGAGAGGUUUGUUAUACAGCUUUGGGGUGGGGAGAGUUCCUUUAAGGAAAAGUAUACUCAAUUUUGACUACAAGUUAAGGAUGAAAGUAAAUAUUAUUGGUGGUGAGAAAGCAAAUCACAAAUACCACAGACUGGCCGGGGGUGGUGGCUCACGUCUGUAAUCCCAGCACUUUGAGAGGCUGGGGUGGGCAAAUCACCUGAGGUUAGGAGUUCAAGACCAGCCUGGCCAACAUGGUAAAACCCGUUUCUACUAAAAAUACAAAAAUUAGCCAGGUGUAGUGGCGCACACCUGUAGUCCCAGCUACUUGGGAGGCUGAGACAGGAGAAUUGCUUGAACCCAGGAGGCAGAGGUUGCAGUGAGCCAAGAUCACACCACUACACACCAGACAGAAUGAGAUUCUGUCUCAAAAACAAACAAACAAAUAUGACAAACUUCAAAAAAAAUAGGAAAAUAUUAUAUACGUCACACAUUAUAUAUAUGAUAUGGUUUGGCUCUGUGUCCCUCCCCCAAAUCUCACCUUGAAUUGUAAUAAUCACCAUGUGUCAAGAGUGGGGCCAGGUGGAGAUAAUUGAAUCACGGGAACAGUUUCCCCCAUGCUGUUCUCGUGAGAGUGAGUGAGUUCUCAUGAGAUCUGAUGUUUUUAUAAGGGGCUUCUCCCUUCACUGGAUCCUCAUUCUCUAUUGCCGCCCUGUGAAGAGGUACCUCCACCAUGAUUAUAAGUUUCCUGAGGCCUCCCAGCCGUGCUGAACUGUGAGUAAUUAAACCUCUUCCCUUUCUAAAUUUCCCAGUCUCAGGUAUGUCUUUGUUAGCAGCACGAGAACAGACUAAUACAAUAUCAUUAUUAUUUUGUAAAUAAUAUUACAUAUCAUAUAUAUUAUGUGAUUAUAGUUUUCUGCAUUUUGUCAUUUUUAUGCUAUUUAUUAUUUUCUAACUCUAAAUAAAUAUUGACUUUCAUCCCUGACUUUGCAUUCUUUGAAUAUACAGCACUUUGUUUUUGUUUUGUUUUGUUUUGGUUUGGUUUGGUUUUUGAGACCAGGUCUCACUCUGUCGCCCAGGCUGGAGUGCAGCAGCAUGACUGCAACCUCCACCUCCUGCGUUCAAGUGAUUCUCCUGCCUCAGCCUCCUGAGUAGCUAGGACUACAGUCACAUGCCACCACACCCAGCUACUUUUUAUAUUUUUUGGUAGAGAUGGGGUUUCACCAUGUAGGCCAGGCUGGUCUCGAACUCCUGAUCUCAAGUGAUCCACCCGCCUUGGCCUCCCAAAGUGCUGGGAUUACAGGAGUGAGCCACGGCACCCAGCCAAGUAUAUAGCACUUUGUAUAAUCACUUUAUAUAAUGUUCUUUCUUAAAGAGGACUCCUCAUCUACGUAUCAAGACAGAGAUCCACAAAACUGGAUCUGUUCUGGAGUACAAGAGCUUUUUUCCAAAGAA